rnacentral:lncRNA from 1 species
CCUAAGGGUUUUGGGCCUGAGGCUGAGGCCUCAAAUGCCUCAGCCCAGGACCGGCCCUGGCUAGAGUCUACAUACAAUUGGAUCUUGGAUCGCACUAUAUGACACUUUUACGGUAAAAAUAUCAUAUCCCGAUUUUUCCAAUAAAAAAAUGAUCAAGACUAAGAAUCACAAAUCUUGAAAAGAGAAUUCUCCGAGCAUUAUUGUCAAUUAAGUACAUCUGUUAUUACAAAUUAUAGACUAUUAAGAAAGUGGCACAAGCACAAACUCAUGUAGAUAUUAUGAAAUGAUCAAUAGACAAAUGACAAGAGAAUAAAAAUGGGAAAAGAGCAAAAUUCCCGAGCCAAAUCUGGUUAGCCCGUCAAUGAUAAGCGAAUAUAGGCUUUCAUAAAAAUUUUUGUAGAAUCGUACCGGUUCAUUCAACCUUGGCGGCUUCUUUCUCCUUUGGUUUGCCCUUUUUGGGCUUCAUGAAGCAAAAACAUGAGCAACAUNN